rfam:Colletotrichum tofieldiae strain 0861 Ct_v4_contig35, whole genome shotgun sequence.
GGUCUGGUGGUGUAGUUGGUUAUCACGUCAGUCUAACAGUCGGAUUCAGCCUCUUCCGGAUGAACUGUCUCCCCUGGCUUCACUGAAGGUCUCCGGUUCAAGUCCGGGCUAGAUCA